UUGACUUCUUCCCUCCCUCGUUUCAUUUUGAAAACGCUGAAAGCACAAAAUCACGAAUUCAUCUGCCAUUUUCAUCGCCUUCGAUCUUGCAUAUUAUUUUGAUCAACUCCCUCUCUUUGUUGUUGGCUAUCUUUGUUCAAGCAGCUCUUCAUUGCCCGACAACUCUUCAUGACCUUCUCACUAUGGUCGAGAUCUUAACACUCGUGGCGAGUAGCACGUCGACGAUGGUGAAGAUUUGUUCGAAAUAUUUCUCGAAGAGGCUUACUUCUCUGUGACACCAAGCUGACGAUUCACUUUGGUGCAUGUUGUGCUGUGUUUUCUGAAGCGAAGCGGAGGAUGUGAGAAGAUGAGGUGAUGGAUGGCGCACACAGUGAGGAGCAUGAUCGCCUCUUCGACGCUCUGAGUCUAAGUGACAAGCUGCAUGGCUACAAAGAAAGUCGAUGUGAGAACCAUCUAGAUGCUUCUUGAGAAGGGAUUGCUAUUAUGAUUUGUGUAUAUUUCUUGUGCAUGGGAUUUCUAUUUUAGAAGAUUUAGUGGUAGCUCCAGCAGAUGGGUUGCAAGCAUCAAUUUGGUAAUAGUGGUGUGUCAAGUAAAACUAAAGCUUUGAUAUGUCAUUACGUGCUUUAUCC